rnacentral:rRNA from 1 species
AUUGAACGCUGGCGGCAAGCCUUACACAUGCAAGUCGAACGGUAACAGGUCUUCGGAUGCUGACGAGUGGCGAACGGGUGAGUAAUACAUCGGAACGUGCCCGAGAGUGGGGGAUAACGAGGCGAAAGCUUUGCUAAUACCGCAUACGAUCUCAGGAUGAAAGCAGGGGACCGCAAGGCCUUGCGCUCACGGAGCGGCCGAUGGCAGAUUAGGUAGUUGGCGGGAUAAAAGCUUACCAAGCCGACGAUCUGUAGCUGGUCUGAGAGGACGACCAGCCACACUGGGACUGAGACACGGCCCAGACUCCUACGGGAGGCAGCAGUGGGGAAUUUUGGACAAUGGGCGCAAGCCUGAUCCAGCCAUGCCGCGUGCAGGAUGAAGGCCUUCGGGUUGUAAACUGCUUUUGUACGGAACGAAAAGACUCUGGUUAAUACCUGGGGUCCAUGACGGUACCGUAAGAAUAAGCACCGGCUAACUACGUGCCAGCAGCCGCUGUAAUAC